GACGAACGCUGGCGGCGUGCUUAACACAUGCAAGUCGAACGGUGAAGCGCCUUCCUUUUUGGAGGGUGUGGAUGAGUGGCGAACGGGUGAGUAACACGUGAGUAACCUGCCCCCUUCUUCUGGAUAACCGCAUGAAAGUGUGGCUAAUACGGGAUAUUCUGGGUCUGUCGCAUGAUGGGUCUGGGAAAGAUAUUGUUUCGGUGGGGGAUGGGCUCGCGGCCUAUCAGCUUGUUGGUGGGGUGAUGGCCUACCAAGGCGGUGACGGGUAGCCGGCCUGAGAGGGUGUACGGUCACACUGGGACUGAGACACGGCCCAGACUCCUACGGGAGGCAGCAGUGGGGAAUAUUGCACAAUGGGCGCAAGCCUGAUGCAGCGACGCCGCGUGAGGGAUGGAGGCCUUCGGGUUGUGAACCUCUUUCGCCAGUGAAGCAGGCCUGCCUCGUUUGUGGGUGGGUUGACGGUAGCUGGAUAAGAAGCGCCGGCUAACUACGUG
rnacentral:rRNA from 1 species